rnacentral:rRNA from 1 species
AACGUAGGACGCAAGCGUUAUCCGGAGUUACUGGGCGUAAAGCGCGGGCAGGCGGUCACUCAAGUCUGAUGUGAAAUCUCUCCGCUCAACGGGGAGCAGCCAUUGGAAACUGGGCGACUGGAGUCUGACAGAGGUAGGCGGAAUUCCGGGUGGAGUGGUGAAAUGCGUAGAGAUCUGGAAGAACACCAAAGGCGAAGGCAGCGUCCUGGCGAGUCACUGACGCUCAGGUGCGAAAGCUAGGGGAGCGAACGGG